rnacentral:rRNA from 1 species
UGAGGAACAUGACCUUCGGCGGGGGAUAGCCGGCCCAACGGCCGGGUAAUACCGCGUACGACCACUUUGGGACAUCCCUCGGUGGUGAAAGCAGCAAUGCGCCGAUGGAGUGCCCCGCGGCCUAUCAGCUAGUUGGUGAGGUAACGGCUCACCAAGGCGACGACGGGUAGCCGGCCUGAGAGGGCGAUCGGCCACACUGGGACUGAGACACGGCCCAGACUCCGUACGGGAGGCAG